rnacentral:rRNA from 1 species
UGAGGAAUAUUGGACAAUGGAUGGAAAUCUGAUCCAGCCAUGCCGCGUGGAGGAAGACGGCCCUAUGGGUUGUAAACUGCUUUUAUACGGGAGCAAUAAGGUCUACGUGUGGACUGAUGAGAGUACCGUAUGAAUAAGCAUCGGCUAACUCCGUGCCAGCAGCCGCGGUAAU